rnacentral:rRNA from 1 species
GGGUUGUGAGGUUAAGCGACUAAGCGUACACGGUGGAUGCCCUGGCAGUCAGAGGCGAUGAAGGACGUGCUAAUCUGCGAAAAGCGUCGGUAAGGUGAUAUGAACCGUUACAGCCGGCGAUGUCCGAAUGGGGAAACCCAGUGUGAUUCGUCACACUAUCGUUAACUGAAUACAUAGGUUAACGAGGCGAACCGGGGGAACUGAAACAUCUAAGUACCCCGAGGAAAAGAAAUCAACCGAGAUUCCCCCAGUAGCGGCGAGCGAACGGGGAGCAGCCCAGAGUCUGAAUCAGCUUGUGUGUUAGUGGAACGGUCUGGAAAGUCCGACGGUACAGGGUGAUAGUCCCGUACACCAAAAUGCACAGGCUGUGAACUCGAAGAGUAGGGCGGGACACGUGGUAUCCUGUCUGAAUAUGGGGGGACCAUCCUCCAAGGCUAAAUACUCCUGACUGACCGAUAGUGAACCAGUACCGUGAGGGAAAGGCGAAAAGAACCCCGGCGAGGGGAGUGAAAAAGAACCUGAAACCGUGUACGUACAAGCAGUGGGAGCACCCUUUAUGGUGUGACUGCGUACCUUUUGUAUAAUGGGUCAGCGACUUAUAUUCUGUAGCAAGGUUAACCGUAUAGGGGAGCCGC